CAAAUACAGAGAAUUUCGAUUUGUCUGUUGAUAGUCCCUUUGGCUUAGACUUCAGCGCUAUACCGGAUUUUAAUAAUAUUUUGGAAUUGGCGCCAGAUUAUGCCACAAAAAUGGAUGAUGCGACGGCUGAUGGUAUUCUACGGGAUAUAUUGAACAAACCUGAUUAUUGUCACAACACCUCUAUACAGAACAGCAAUGUUGUUGAUGAGCAACCGUUUUUCCCACACGCUACAGGGGGUCGUGCUAAAACAUUCGAAUAUAAAGCAGAUGAUGCUGUAGCAAUGCGCUAUGCACCGACGAUACCAACAUGCAGUGAUACAGUAGCGCAAAUACACCGUCUUAGUACAAGCGGGAAAAUAUCAAAACGCACAACCGCCGCUGAAACGGAAAGCCAUCAAUUCGCAGCAGCAGAUGACGCUGUAGCAAGACGCUAUGCUCCUUUGAUACCAACAGUCAGUGAUACAUGCGCGCAGAUACACAGGCCUAGUACAAGCGGGAAAAUAUCAAAACGCACAACCGCCGCUGAAGCGGAGAACCAUCAAUUCGUAACGCCGGCAAUUGUACAUAAGGGCGUUGCUAGGUCAUCAGUUAUGGCUGUGCAUAACGGCUGUAUCGUCCCGAACAAACGAAAGCCAGCUCGACCAAGAACGAAUGAGAGAAGUCAUAAUUCAACAUUUACAGAUCUGAAAAGAAAAUUGUCAUAUUCCGAAAAUGAUAAGCCGCAACGGAGAAGGAUCGCGUUACAAACUGUAUCAUGCGUAAGUAAUGAUGUUGCUGUAACAUCAAAACACACAGCGUUUAACACUGCAGACCGGGAUG